AUUGAACGCUGGCGGCAUGCUUUACACAUGCAAGUCGAACGGUAACAGGCCGCGAGGUGCUGACGAGUGGCGAACGGGUGAGUAAUGCAUCGGAACGUGCCCAGUCGUGGGGGAUAACGCAGCGAAAGCUGCGCUAAUACCGCAUACGAUCUAUGGAUGAAAGCGGGGGACCGUAAGGCCUCGCGCGAUUGGAGCGGCCGAUGUCAGAUUAGGUAGUUGGUGGGGUAAAGGCUCACCAAGCCGACGAACUGUAGCUGGUCUGAGAGGACUACCAGCCACACUGGGACUGAGACACGGCCCAGACUCCUACGGGAGGCAGCAGUGGGGAAUGUUGGACAAUGGGCGCAAUCCUGAUCCAGCAAUGCCGCGUGCAGGAAGAAGGCCUUCGGGUUGUAAACUGCUUUUGUACGGAACGAAACGGUCCUGGUUAAUACCUGGGGCUAAUGACGGUACCGUAAGAAUAAGCACCGGCUAACUACGUGCCAGCCGCCGCAGUAACAC
rnacentral:rRNA from 1 species